rnacentral:lncRNA from 1 species
CUCAUUUUUAGCCUUUUAAUGGAUCAAGUUCUUUUCUGAGAUUUUUCACUAACAUUCUGAGAUUUUUUACUAACUGCAGCUGACAAAUCAGAAACCUUGGAAGAGUAAUAGUAGUUAUUAUCAUCUCUGUAGGAUGGCUUUCAGGUGUAAAAGUUGUUCUCUCUUCUUCCAUUUUUUGUUUUCUUUUGGUUUCUUAUGUCAAGAAUCAUAGAAUAUCCUAGUUAGUGCCAUGGCAACAAUUUGCUGGUAUAGCUGUUAUUAUUAGACAUCCAUGUAUAAGACCCUAAAAUCACACACAUGCUUUUCUAACUUAAAGCAUUAUUCAUUUGUCACACGCAUGCUUUGAAUUUUGAGUUACUUACUUAUGAAUAUGUGAAAAAUGAUAAUUCUUUAGUGUGUGACUAUAUAUUUAAAGUGUAUGAUUUCCAAAUGUGUUGUGUUCUCUACCAAAUCAUUUUCUUUGAUUAGUAAUUACUACCUCUGUUUCGUUAUUAAGCGUUAUUUACAAAAAAAAGAAGAUAAAUUGGUCAUGGUUUUUGACAAAUUUUUACAUAUUACGAAAAUUAUAUAGUGUAUAAAAUUUGCCUACUUUGUAUGUUGUUUCAGAAAUACCCUUCAUCUAAUGUUUUAGAUAAACAAUGACACUAAAAAGUAGUAAAUUCAUUAGGAGCACUUUUUGUAAAUAAAAAAAUUAGACCAUUACAGAUAACUCAACAUCUUGAAGCAAUUCAUUCAUUUUUUACUUCCAUAGUCUAACUCUUAGGAAUCAUAUUAGGUCCUACACCUUUAAUUUAUAUAUUAAUAUUUUAUUUAUAUUUAAUUUUAUUAUAAUUUAAAAUAUUAAUUUAAAUAUUUUAAUUAAUAUUAUAUAUUAUUUUAAAUAAUAUUAAUUAUUGAUCUCCACCUUGAAUAUCAUCUGAGGUCUAUAAAAUAUAUUGGGAUUGGUUGGUGAUGAUAGUAAUGAAUUUUUUUGAAUAAAAUGCAACUAAGAUUAUUGAAGAUUAUAUUGAUUCGGAUUAAUUUGUCACAAAUAAUUUUUGUUUGAAAUAAUAAGAUGAAAAAAUAAGUAAAUAAUUAUUGUUAAUAAAAGCUUAAAAAAAAACUUAUUCUGAGAUUUUUUACUAACUGCAGCUGACAAAUCAGAAACCUUGGAAGAGUAAUAGUAGUUAUUAUCAUCUCUGUAGGAUGGCUUUCAGGUGUAAAAGUUGUUCUCUCUUCUUCCAUUUUUUGUUUUCUUUUGGUUUCUUAUGUCAAGAAUCAUAGAAUAUCCUAGUUAGUGCCAUGGCAACAAUUUGCUGGUAUAGCUGUUAUUAUUAGACAUCCAUGUAUAAGACCCUAAAAUCACACACAUGCUUUUCUAACUUAAAGCAUUAUUCAUUUGUCACACGCAUGCUUUGAAUUUUGAGUUACUUACUUAUGAAUAUGUGAAAAAUGAUAAUUCUUUAGUGUGUGACUAUAUAUUUAAAGUGUA